CGAACGGGUGAGUAACACGUGGGCAACCUGCCCAAAAGAGGGGAUAACACUUGGAAACAGGUGCUAAUACCGCAUAACCAUAGUUACCGCAUGGUAACUAUGUAAAAGGUGGCUAUGCUACCGCUUUUGGAUGGGCCCGCGGCGCAUUAGCUAGUUGGUGGGGUAAAGGCUUACCAAGGCAAUGAUGCGUAGCCGAACUGAGAGGUUGAUCGGCCACAUUGGGACUGAGACACGGCCCAAACUCCUACGGAAGGCAGCAG
rnacentral:rRNA from 1 species